AGAGUGGAGAUCUGUGGGAUACUAUUAUUUAUGAGAAAUUGGAGUCCCUAAGAUCUACCGUUGGAUUCUAAACAGAUCAUGUGGCUAAGAUUUAAUGAGAAAAAAACGGCUGAUCAUUUUAAAACAAUUUUAAACUCCAGAUCUGGUCAUGUUUCUUCAAAUCCAUAUCCCGCAUUCUCCGUCGAAGCACACAACUACCAUCGUUACCAGGAGUGCUUGAUUUUCGCUGUGAUCAACCCUAGGUGCGGAACUUUAGAGACUGAAGUCAUCGACUGGGGAGGGAUUUGCAGGACGCCUCAACUUUGUACGAAUAUGAGUUUAGGUAUUCCCACGAACUCCUUAUUAUGUUCUUCAUUUUUAUUGAAUGUCGUUUUUUUGACGACUAAAUUACCCGAAUUUAUGAACGCCGGCAGCCUGGUUCAAUGGGUUGUCCUUCAUUUGUCGUCUCUAAUUUGUGGUUGCCCUCUGGGUUCUUUUUGGGGCUUUGUUUAGAAACUGAACUGGGUGUGUGUUUUCACUUAACAUUGCAAGCUAUUUGGAUAACGAAUGUUGUGUUUAAACACUUUAGAUCGUUUUGGUGAUAUUUGGGGGUUUUGUUUUGUAUUAGAUUCUUCAAAUUCUAAAUGUAUUUUGUAUUUAAGUUCUGCAAUUUAUUGCUGUUUUGAUCCUGAAGUUGCAUAUUAUGUGAUACUGCAUUUGGUUUGUUGAUUUGAAAACAGAGUUUGGUAUUUGUAAUGUGUCCUGCAAGUUUGUAAUAAGCUUGACCGACUAAUAUGCCAGUGCUGCAAUUUUGCUGCAUGUCGAUGCACUGAGCACUAUAAUAUGUGAGUUUGUAAAUCCUGGUAGUCGUAUUUAAUAGGUUGUCCUACAUAUGUUGUUUGUGCUUCGGGGAGGACUUCCAUUUUUUUUUUGUGGGCUUUGUAGAUUAUGGAACUCUCUGUGUGUUCUUCACUUGACAACAAGCAUAUAUAUUAAAUUAAACACUAAAGUCGUAACUGAUGCUAUUUGGAUAAUGAGUGCUGCAUUAAGACACCGCAGAAUGAUUUGUUGAUAGUUUGGUAUAUCGUAUUUUUAUUAGAUUAUUCGUGUUCUUCACUCGCUGAUAGCCAUGUUCUGCGUUUUUUUAUAUGUUUUUAUGUUGAAGUUGCAGAUUAUGUGAUAAUGAAUUAGAUUUUGGUGUUAUGCAUUUUAAGUUUUAAAGUUGGUGUGUGCUAGACUUGUGCAUGACCUUCCACUGUCAUUAUUUGGUUAUAAUAUUGGUGUUUGUAACACAUUUACUGAGGCUACUAUCUUGUUCUUUUGGAAACAAAGUUUGUUCUUUUUAAUGUGUCUUGCAAAAUGUGUAAUAAGCUUUACUGUCUAAUGUGUAUAGGGCGAAGGAGAAAAAGUAGACUGAUCGAUAACUCAUGGGUAUACAAUUGAACAAAAAAGAAGCCUGAAUGCAUAACUAUUAACGAUGACGGGCAUAGUUGCAAGUCUGCCCACGUUGUUUCAAAGGGUACUUUGCUUAAGAAAAAAGUACGUGGAAGCGUGAUUGGCAUGCUAUUAAGGUCCAAAAACAAAAAAGAGGCAUUUGGCGUUGCAGAAGAUGGUCAAUUUCAGCAAAAUAAAGUUGUUGGGAGAUUAACGAUUUUAGCACUAGAAAAUAUAUUCCUAACGUGUUCCACGAUUGUAAGACUUUAUGUUUAGUUGCUACAUUAGAUUAUUUGGAAAUAUAUUAUGUUAUGAAAUUACAAUUUUGGUUGUGGGAAUUUAGAACAUGGGGAUACACAUUUCUAGCGGGUUGUUUAUAUGAAUUUAAAACUUUGUGUUUGCUAAUGAAAGUGCCCAGAGUUGUGGUACUGCACUUAGUUCAUGUCGACAUUAUCUAGCUG
rnacentral:lncRNA from 1 species